UCGGUCUGGUGGCGAGUGGCGAACGGGUGAGUAAUGCAUCGGAACGUGCCCAACUGUGGGGGAUAGCUCGGCGAAAGCCGGAUUAAUACCGCAUACGAUCCACGGAUGAAAGCGGGGGACCUUCGGGCCUCGCGCAGUAGGAGCGGCCGAUGUUAGAUUAGGUAGUUGGUGGGGUAAAGGCUCACCAAGCCGACGAUCUAUAGCUGGUCUGAGAGGACGACCAGCCACACUGGGACUGAGACACGGCCCAGACUCCUACGGGAGGCAGCAGUGGGGAAUUUUGGACAAUGGGCGCAAGCCUGAUCCAGCAAUACCGCGUGCAGGAAGAAGGCCUUCGGGUUGUAAACUGCUUUUGCACGGAACGAAAAGGUCUGGGUUAAUACCCUGGGCUCAUGACGGUACCGUAAGAAUAAGCACCGGCUAACUACGUGCCAGCAGCCGCGGUAAUACGUAGGGUGCAAGCGUUAAUCGGAAUUACUGGGCGUAAAGCGUGCGCAGGCGGUUAUGUAAGACAGGCGUGAAAUCCCCGGGCUCAACCUGGGAAUUGCGCUUGUGACUGCAUAACUAGAGUACGGUAGAGGGGGAUGGAAUUCCGCGUGUAGCAGUGAAAUGCGUAGAUAUGCGGAGGAACACCAAUGGCGAAGGCAGUCCCCUGGACCUGUACUGACGCUCAUGCACGAAAGCGUGGGGAGCAAACAGG
rnacentral:rRNA from 1 species